rnacentral:rRNA from 1 species
UAGGGAAUCUUCGGCAAUGGACGAAAGUCUGACCGAGCAACGCCGCGUGAGUGAAGAAGGUCCUCGGAUCGUAAAACUCUGUUGUUAGAGAAGAACAAGGACGUUAGCAACUGAACGUCCCCUGACGGUAUCUAACCAGAAAGCCACGGCUAACUACGUGCCCGCAGCCGCGGUAAUACGUAGGUGGCAAGCGUUGUCCGGAUUUAUUGGGCGUAAAGCGAGCGCAGGCGGUUUCUUAAGUCUGAUGUGAAAGCCCCCGGCUCAACCGGGGAGGGUCAUUGGAAACUGGGGGACUUGAGUGCAGAAGAGGGGAGUGGAAUUCCAGGUGUAGAGGUGAAAUGCGUAGAUAUAUGGAGGAACACCAGUGGCGAAGGCGGCUCUCUGGACUGUAACUGACGCUGAGGCUCGAAAGCGUGGGGAGAAAACAGG